GACGAACGCUGGCGGCGUGCUUAACACAUGCAAGUCGAACGAGAAUCGGUGGAUAGAGGCUUCGGCCAAUUGAAAUCGAGGACAGUGGCGGACGGGUGAGUAACGCGUGAGGAACCUGCCUUUCAGAGGGGGACAACAGUUGGAAACGACUGCUAAUACCGCAUAACGCAUAGGGGUCGCAUGAUUCUUAUGCCAAAGAUUUAUCGCUGAAAGGUGGCCUCGCGUCUGAUUAGCUAGUUGGUGAGGUAACGGCCCACCAAGGCGACGAUCAGUAGCCGGACUGAGAGGUUGAACGGCCACAUUGGGACUGAGAUACGGCCCAGACUCCUACGGGAGGCAGCAGUGGGGAAUAUUGGGCAAUGGGGGAAACCCGUGACCCAGCAACGCCGCGUGAAGGAAGAAGGCC
rnacentral:rRNA from 1 species